UACAGAGGGUGCGAGCGUUGUCCGGAAUCACUGGGCGUAAAGGGCGCGUAGGUGGCGCUCCAAGUCCGUGGUGAAAGCUCGAUGCUCAACAUCGAGUCGGCCACGGAGACUGGAGGGCUCGAGCACUGUAGGGGCAGAUGGAAUUCCGGGUGUAGCGGUGGAAUGCGUAGAGAUCCGGAAGAACACCGGUGGCGAAGGCGCUCUGCUAGGCCGCAACUGACACUGAGGGACGAAAGCUAGGGGAGCGAAUGGG
rnacentral:rRNA from 1 species